UACGAAGGGGGCUAGCGUUGUUCGGAAUUACUGGGCGUAAAGCGCGCGUAGGCGGUGAUCUUUGUCAGAGGUGAAAGCCCAGAGCUCAACUCUGGAAUUGCCUUUGAGACUGAGUGGCUUGAGUACGAGAGAGGUGAGUGGAAUUCCCAGUGUAGAGGUGAAAUUCGUAGAUAUUGGGAAGAACACCGGUGGCGAAGGCGGCUCACUGGCUCGUAACUGACGCUCAUGCACGACAGCGUGGGGAUCAAACAGG
rnacentral:rRNA from 1 species